CUCUUACCAAAACUUCAUCUGCCCCACUCUUCACUGGUUCCUUCUCUCACCGCCAACCAUUUUCCAUCCUAAAUUUCCCCAACUCUAAAUCUCUGCUUUCAUGUCAAAUAUCCAUAAUAAUUCAACCGUUUUCAUCCUUCGCCUGCCGUUUUUCCCUCAAUCAUGCCAGGAACUAUCAAACUUUCAGGUAAUUCUCUCCCAUUUCUUCUCUUUACUCCAUUACUUUUCCUUCUUCAUGCUUCAUUUCCAUUUCUUUCAGUUCUGGAGUUCAUCGACCUUCCCGAGCUUUUGCCUUCUCCAAUCUCGAUUAAGGUUUCCAUGGGGAAAAGACAUUACGAAACUUCGGAAAAAGGAGAAUUCUCAUUUCCAUUGACAACUCUGCGAGAUGAUGUGGUUCUUAUAGUUCAGGAUGCUGGGGGGAAUGAGAUAUCACGUGCAGGUGUUCAGGCAAAAUCAAUAGUUGAGAAGGGUUACUGGGAUGAUCUUUUUCCUCUUGAAGGAGGAGGCUGUGUGCAUUUGCAAUUCCAGUUUGCUCUUAGUGAAGAUGAUCGCAGUCGAAUUCGAAUGAUGAGAGAAACCGCUUUGAGAAGAAAACACGUUGAGCAUCAAGAUAAAAAUCUCAAAAGCUCUGGAAGCAACCUUGCAUCAUCUUUUUACCUCAACCGUGAGCUCUCUGAUUCGCAAAAGUGUCUUCUUCAAAUUGGGGAUCUAAGUGCUAAAGAAGCAGCUCAGCAAUCUCCAUCAGCAUCAACAGAAAAUAUCCCUGAUGAGAAUCCAGUUACUGAAAAAACAAACAAUGUUCAACUUGAUCAGAAUGACGCAGAUAGAAAUGAGGUUAGUCCAUCAACAAUUUCUCAGUUGCAAGAAGUUGAUGCUAAUAAACCAAAGGUAAAUAACACUGUAUUAGUUGAGAGGAUGGGGACACAGUCACCUCAUGCAAACAAACUUUCACCACCGAUUCGUUUGGAAGAAAACUUAUUCAAUUCUCAAGGCUCAGAGUUAUCUGAUUCUCCAUCAAAAGGUGAAGAGAAGACUGAUGCUACAGAGACCCCAUCACGUAGGAGAGCUCCUGGCAAUGUUAAAAAAGUAAUAAGCGCCUUUGAAAGUAGCCUGACUCAGGAUACAAAACCUCGCAUUAAACCUACCUUAAGAAAUGCUCACCACAGUGUGGAAGAAAAGCAAACAUCUCUGAAAGUUAACCAGUCGAAAAAACCCACCGAGGAUAAUACCAAACCUAUAUUGUCACAAACGCCAAUAGGCCCUCCUUUUGCAGGGGACUUGACCCAUGACUUGGAAAAUAUCAUUAUCAAGCAAAAGGAACAGAAACGUAAAUUCAUUGACACUUCAGAUGGGACUAAAAUAUCUGAGGACCCUAGGCAAUCACUAAAGUUAAAGGGGAAAAAGAAUCAAGUUGGAGGAGAAAAGUUGAGUAAGAAGGAUAAGAUGCAUAAGGAGCGUGAUGAUAUAGAGUCAAAGAAUGAUGAAUCUUAUCAAAAGUUGGUGCCUGAGAAGCCGGACUGUGAUAGAAAUUCAGUAACAGGUGAAUCAGUAUCACGUGUCAAAGACGAGCAAUUUCCCUCCAGAAGGUCUGGUGGCUGGAUAUUUCCAGAUGAAAGAAGACGGCUUUGCGUCACGACAGGUGGUAAUUUGUUGGGAGGAGGGCGCACUAGCUAUACAUUCAACCGUAAAGCGGAAAUGAAGAUUUCCAUGGAAGAGAACAGAGGUAUCUCAGAAACGAAGGCAAAUGGGGGCAAGCGUGAUCAUCAAGAAAUGAUCAAACCAGAGAGUUCAGAUGAUGUAAAACCCUCUGAAGGACCACUUGCCAAUGCCCUAAAGAUUGCAAUAAUGGUUGGGUUCGGGACUCUUGUUCUCUUUACUAGACAAAGGAAAAAGAAGGGGUCAGAGAUUGAACCGUCAACCCCAUAUGGUAAUAGAUGCUUUAUCAACACACACAAACCUUUGUGGUUCUACAUAGUUGUUUCUCAGGUGUGUUGUAUUGCAGCUAUGAGCUGUUGAAGACAAUUUCAUUCUGAUCCAGUCAUUCAUACCCCUUGCGGUCCGGUUGGAUUAGAAGGUCUAAAGUUGCUGUCCAUUAGAGCUAAAAGUUGAUUUUGGUGAUAUAGUCAUUGGAUCUGUUGAUUUUGAAGUUUCUAAGUGGUUUUGGAUCAAACCACUUGUUGGGUAAGUUGUUUGAAGACAUUCAGGUUAAGUUGUGAUUGGAAUUGUGCCCUAAAUUUUGGAUUUAAUUUUGGUUUAUGUUUUUUGAUUUAUUCAGGAUUUAAGGUUUUACGAAGUUAAAUUGCUAGCUAUUUGGAUUUAAUUUCAAGGUAAAUGGUUUACUACUGGUUCGCCCUCGAAUCAGGCACCUUAACUAAGUUGAUGUUAAGAUUGUGUAUACACGUAAAAGCAUGAUAUUAUUAUGGUGGAAUAAUUUGCUAUGAUUUGCUAAUGGAUGGACUCAUGAGGGUGUUCUGGAAACCUAUCAAUUAUGCUACUAAGAUCGUGAUAACAUGUUUAUGGUUUGAUAUGAAAUUUGGAUGUCAUAUGUUGCAUGUUGGACCAAUGGUGACUGUCAGUAAUCCUAUCGAGCGGUAUAUAUCUUAUUUUUUUCUUAUGUUUGUGAACCCUCAGGUUCACCAUUUAUGACCGAUUCAGUGUCCCUCAGGGAUCACAACUAUUGUUGUGAUACGUGUUCCUUCAAGUUCACUAGACUGCCAUGAUAUGUGUUCCUUUGAGUUUACUAGACUACCAUGAUUUAUGUUCCUUCGAGAUCACUAGACUGCCAUGAUUUGUGUUCCUACGGUAUCACCAUGACUGCCAUGAUUUGUGUUCCUACGGGAUCACCACGACUUCCAUGUUAUAAAAUGUAAACCAAUGCUUAGAUAGGUAGGCUAACAAAUUCACCUAGUUGACCUAGUAGUGGGUCACUUACUGAGUAUUCAUACUCACCAUUUUUUUAUGAUAUAUUUUUUAGGUAAGGGCGAGAACAGAUCGACGAAUGAUAAGAAGAAUCCGUAACCGUACGAUUGGGACCAGAUAGAAGCUUCUACUCAUGUUUUCAUAUUUUUCAUGUUUGAAACGAGUUUUGGUGUUUAAAAUUGUAGAACUUUUUAUGUUAAAAUUUCAAGUUCUUCCAUGUUUUCCAGUUUUAAAUUUAUGUUUUUAGGGAGACCCCGAACAAAUGUUUUGAGUUGUCUUAGUGGAAUUUUAUUAAUUUUAAUUAAUAAAUACACACUUCCCGUUGAACCAAAAAAGAAAAUAAGAAAAGAGAAGGAAGUUAAGGUUCAACUUUCUUUGGAUUGUCCAAAUAUUAAGUACCCUCUCCUUGGGGUACCUACGAUAUAAUUUAAAGCGAUGAUCCAAUACUCCUUGGAGCAUGAGGUUCCAGGUGCUAUAUUCAAGGAAAUGGUGAACCGGAUUACCGAUAAGAAUAUGGACAACGAGGUUCGAGAAAAUGCAUUUUAGCCAUUAUCCAAAUCCUUUUUUUAGGAGUUGACUAAACCAAGUUCAUGGGUUGAGUGUGAUACUCUAAAUAUCCUAUUUGAGUUCAUGAAAGAUAAAUUCUAUAGGCAACCAGACAUGUGUAUUGACGCGUCUUACCCUCUUACCAAUUGGAAUAAUGAAUCACCUAAAUUCUCGAUAUGGGGUCUACAAACAUAUUAAGAACAAGUCGACUUUGGAUGUUGUCGUACCAUGGGGGGAUGAGACGUUACCGGAUUAUGUCAUGGGUAAAUUCGAUGUCAAGUGGUCAGAUGUGGACUUCGUAUAUACGGCAACAAACAUCGAUCAGCAUUGGAUAUUGAUAGCAUUCGAUCUAAUUAGAGGUCGGUUAUUCAUAUUUGAUUCACUACUGUUCAUGACAUCAAAGAAGAAGCUAGAGUUUUUCCUUGAACCCGACCCACCUAUAUGAAUACACAACAGGGGUCGUUAGAUUGUGGAAUAUUUUUUUUGUAAAAUUCUUAGAACAUUUAGUGACUGGUAAUGCCCCUACAAUAACUCAGGAUAAGAUGACUUGACUAUACGACGCAAUUGGCAUGUCAAUUGUGGAUGAACAUUCCAUAUUAUUGACGUACUUGUAUAUUAUGUAUAUUAUGUAUAUUAUUGAUGUAAUUUUACUAGUAUGUUAUUUAAA